GCAUUACUGGCAGGGUCCUCAGAUUUGGCUGGCCAUACAGCUGUGGAAUAUAGAAAAUAUAGGCCUUCCACGAGCAUCGCUUACUGCUAAUGGGGCUAUGGGGGGCUUCCCAGCGUACCCCAUAUCUCCUCUAGCCAGAAGCCUCUCUCCAUAG
rnacentral:lncRNA from 1 species